UACGUAGGGGGCAAGCGUUGUCCGGAAUCAUUGGGCGUAAAGCGCGUGUAGGCGGCCAGGUAAGUCCGUUCUGAAAGCCCGGGGCUCAACCCCGGGAGGCGGAUGGAUACUGCUUGGCUCGAGUCCGGAAGAGGUGAGUGGAAUUCCCGGUGUAGCGGUGAAAUGCGCAGAUAUCGGGAGGAACACCAAUGGCGAAGGCAGCUCACUGGGACGGUACUGACGCUCAGGUGCGAAAGCGUGGGGAGCAAACAGG
rnacentral:rRNA from 1 species